AGUCGUAACAAGGUUUCCGUAGGUGAACCUGCGGAAGGAUCAUUACAGAGUUCAUGCCCGAAAGGGUAGACCUCCCACCCUUGUGUAUUAUUACUUUGUUGCUUUGGCGAGCUGCCUUCGGGCCUUGUAUGCUCGCCAGAGAAUACCAAAACUCUUUUUAUUAAUGUCGUCUGAGUACUAUAUAAUAGUUAAAACUUUCAACAACGGAUCUCUUGGUUCUGGCAUCGAUGAAGAACGCAGCGAAAUGCGAUAAGUAAUGUGAAUUGCAGAAUUCAGUGAAUCAUCGAAUCUUUGAACGCACAUUGCGCCCCUUGGUAUUCCGGGGGGCAUGCCUGUUCGAGCGUCAUUUCAACCCUCAAGCUUAGCUUGGUAUUGAGUCUAUGUCAGUAAUGGCAGGCUCUAAAAUCAGUGGCGGCGCCGCUGGGUCCUGAACGUAGUAAUAUCUCUCGUUACAGGUUCUCGGUGUGCUUCUGCCAAAACCCAAAUUUUUCUAUGGUUGACCUCGGAUCAGGUAGGGAUACCCGCUGAACUUAAGCAUAUCAAUAAGCGGAGGAA
rnacentral:misc_RNA from 1 species